AUUUCGAACGCACAUUGCGGUCCUCGGAUACUGUUCCCGGACCACUCCUGGCUGAGGGUCGUAU
rnacentral:rRNA from 3 species